rnacentral:rRNA from 1 species
CACGUAGGGCGCAAGCGUUGUCCGGAAUUAUUGGGCGUAAAGAGCUCGUAGGCGGACUGUCACGUUCGUGCUGUGAAAAGCUAGGGCUUAACCCUGGCCUUGCAGUGGAUACGGGCAGACUAGAGGUAGGUAGGGGAGAAUGGAAUUCCCGGUGUAGCGGUGAAAUGCGCAGAUAUCGGGAGGAACACCAGUGGCGAAGGCGAGUCUCUGGACGACUCCUGACACUGAGGCACGAAAGCUAGGGGAGCAACAGG